rnacentral:rRNA from 1 species
UGCUCCAAUUUUUUUAUGUCUGGCCUAACAGUUCCCAUUGGAUCACUGAAGUUAAACAACAUUGCGCUUGAUUGGUAUCCGGAUGGGUGACCAUCUGGGCAAUCUCGUUCUGCUGGAU